CACACGCAUCAGUAACAACAGUAACCCGAUUUUCAGUUUGGAAAACCAAAACUUUCUCCUCAUUUCCAGAUAGUGCUUCCUUUUCUGCUUUUCUCUCACUUUACUCAGAAAAGCCCUGUCAGGAUCCCGGAGGUAUGGGUGCAUCAGCAGGGCCUAAUGAAGCUAAAUGAGCUCAGCUUGGGAAGGCGCUGAUGGCUUUUGCCUAUGCUCUGGAGUUUCUGGAGAGGAAGAUAAGCCUGGAGUUAAAAGCCCGACAGAGGCAGAGGCGGCGGGCUGAGGCGGCUCCGGACACAAUGUUUGCAGGGGGAAUAGAGAGAAAAGGUUUGCGGACUCUCAGAGAUGGAAGGAAUGCUGGCUGCUUUACAGUCUGUUCCUUCAGAGGAGCUUCAAGGGCAGUGAAAGUCUUCAUCGAGGGGACCCUUAUGGAGAGAGGGGCAGAGGCAAAACGGGAACGGGAAGAGAAGGAGAGCUUUUCAGCCGAAGCGAUCAAAGAGCCUGGCUUCCACAGGCUCCAACGGAAUAAAUAGUACAUUGGGUGAAAUACUUGCCUUAAACGAUGGGAGGUGGUCCACGGGAAAGCUAAAUAGAUGCUUUGAGAUACAAGGGAAGAAGUUUCUGAGCUGCUUCUGUCCAUCAUUGACCAACCGGAACCGAGUAAGCUCUUCUCUUUGUCGAAGACAUCCACUUCCAUUAGAAUCCAUCCUCGGACAGUAUCGUUGUUGAAGUGUGUAAUGAUCUCCUGCUUCUGCUCCUUUCACUCAGCAUCAGUUCAUUUCUUCUUUGGUCACCAAUUCCUUCCUCCUCCACAAGUCUGAGAGCAGGACCUGGUGCCAUGGAUGCCCCAAGCCUACUUUGCUAUAAUAGUGUUUGCCUUUAAAGACAGUAACUGCUAUGGCAAGAUCCAAAAUGAAAAAGAUGAAUGAACAAUCCACAAAGAUGAAAGCAAAGCCAUUGCUGUGGGUUUGAUUUGAUAUUGAAGAAGAAGGAAGAUCUCCACAAAAAGAAUGCAUAUUAACAAAAAUAUAAAUUGCCCCACAAACACACACACACACACACACACACACACACAC